rnacentral:rRNA from 1 species
AUGCGUCGCGAGGGACGGCAGCGAGGGUGGGUGCGCGUGUACGACCGCGAGCUGGUCGACCCGGAGGGCAAGCGCCGGGCCGUGCACGUCGUUGAGGGGCCGGCGGUGGCCAACGGCGGGUUCAUCAGGGCGCCGCGGAAGCCGACCAACCAGUCCAAGUCCGGCGGCCUCCGCGCGCUCGGCAGGAGCGGCAUGGCGCAAGAGGAGGAGGAGGAGCCGCAGACCCUUCCGCCGACGAUGGCCGGGCGAUUCGGAUACUACUACUCGACGGGAUGGUAG